ACAUUACCGAAUACAUACAUUAUUGAAAUAAAAAGCAUGAGAAAUUAUAUUAGCAAAUGAAUUUGCAGUUUAGGGACCUCUAAUUAAGAGUACAAUACAUUUGGAUUCUCUCUCUUUUAAAACUUAUUCUCCAUGUAUUCCUAAAUAUGACCCAUCUUCUCUGACAGCUAAAUGUAUUGCUGAUGUCUUAUUAAAGGGAACUCUGUAGCUUCUUCUUCCCUAUAGCUCAGGUAGACAGCCUGAGGUUUGAAGUUCUGCAUAGAGCCAGCAUAGCUGUUAGUGGCAAAAUGACCCCCAGAGUAAACAAAGAAACAUGACCAGUUACCCUCAGAGGGGAUUACUUGUCUCACUUGUAAACCAAGUAUCAGGAGAAGUAAGCCAGUAAGUGUGAAGUCAACCUCACCAGGGAGUAUGGCAUGGAAUCUUUUCCAUAACUUAGGCUAGACAUUCUGCUAUGUUAUGCCUGUUGAUGUUUCCUUAUCUUUAUGAGAAAAGGAAACAUGCCAGCCUUCUAGUAAAGGCCUUUGGAUUAAAUUCUCUGAAGGAAACUGGCCUCACCUAAUAAACUCACCAGAACAUAAAAGGACAUGGAAAAAAAAAAUAAAACUAAUGUGCUAAUCAGUUCAAUAAAUGCUUGAAGCUGGCCUUAAAUCAAAUAAAAGACAGGAAAAGAUGCCUUAUUUCAGAGCUUUGAGACACAGAAUGAUGAGAAAAAUUUCUCUUGUAUUUGAAUCACUGAGGGGAAAACAGUAGUCGAUUCAGGAGAAGUCAAGAAAUAUCAGUGCAGUUUCUAAAUAGUAGUAGUAUUUUCCUUUCUAUCUUCUGCCAAAGUUGCUGGAAGCUCUCAUAUGGCAAGGGGCUUGGUACCUUUGCCUUCUUUCUUAUUAGCUGCAUGAUCAAUGUGAAGCCUGACUCCUGAGUAUUGGCAAUUCUCCCCGCUAUUCCUCCAGUUCACUGUAUCCAUACCUUCUCAGCUGUAACUUUACAUGACCCAUGCCGGAUAGAUGGAUGGAUGGAUUAGAGGCAGUUGAGGAGGAGUGACUAAUAGGAGAACUAGGGGUGAUGCUUCUGUAGUUCUCGUGUGAGUUAAUGAAGGCCUGGACUCUGGGAAUGGAGGUGGGCAUCUUCUCAGUCUUGCAGAAUGCCAUCUUUUAUGGGUAGAGAUGAUGCUGUGUCUACCUUCCACAAGAAGAAAAUAUAUUCCAUGAAUAUUUAGUCAUGUAUAGUUUCUUUCAUACAUUAUGUUUCACUGAUUCAUCAUGUCUUUCCCAUUCUCCAUUGUCCCAGA
rnacentral:lncRNA from 1 species